rnacentral:ncRNA from 1 species
AGUGCGGCAACGCAAACGAACUCGGAAACGCCGACGUGGGUCCCGGGAAGAGUUCUCUUUUCUUGGUAAGGGGCGGCGACCCUGGAAUCGGUUCGCCCGGAGAUAGGGACAUGGGCCCCGUAAAGCAGCACGUCUCUUGUGCUGUCCGGUGAGCUCGCGUCGGCCCUUGAAAAUCCGAGGGAGACGGUGUAAUUUUCGUGCGAGGUCGUACCCAUAUCCGCAGCAGGUCUCCAAGGUGAACAGCCUCUGGCCGAUAGAACAAUGUAGGUAAGGGAAGUCGGCAAACUAGAUCCGUAACUUCGGGAAAAGGAUUGGCUCUAGGGGCUGGGUCGGUCGGGCUGAGGUACGAAGCGGGGCGCGGCGCUGUACCGGACUGGGCGAACGACGGCCUCCCUCGCGGGGGGCUGGCGUGAGCCUGGACCUGUGUCGGCGUCUUCCCGUGGAAUGCCGCAGCUAACGCGGGCCUCGCGGCCCGCUUCGGCCGGCGUCGAACAGCCGACUUAGAACUGGUACGGACCGGGGGAAUCCGACUGUUUAAUUAAAACAAAGCUUUGCGAUGGCCGUCAGCCGGUGUUGACGCAAUGUGAUUUCUGCUCCAGUGCUCUGAAUGUCAAAGUGAAGAAAUUCAACCAAGCGCGGGUAAACGGCGGGAGUAACUAUGACUCUCUUAAGGUAGCCAAAUGCCUCGUCAUCUAAUUAGUGA